AUACGGAGGAUCCGAGCGUUAUCCGGAUUUAUUGGGUUUAAAGGGUGCGCAGGCGGCCAUUUAAGUCAGCGGUUAAAUCGUGGGGCUCAACCCCAUUCUGCCGUUGAUACUGGGUGGCUUGAUUGCGGUCGAGGUUGGCGGAAUUCGUUGUGUAGCGGUGAAAUGCAUAGAUAUGACGAAGAACACCGAUUGCGUAGGCAGCUGACCAGACCGCAAAUGACGCUCAUGCACGAAAGUGCGGGGAUCGAACAAGAUUAGAUACCCUGGUAGUCCGCACAGUAAACGAUGAAUACUUGUUUUCGGCGAUAUAAUGUCGGAGGCAAAGCGAAAGCGAUAAGUAUUCCACCUGGGGAGUACGCCGGCAACGGUGAACUUAAAUGAAUUGGCGGGG
rnacentral:rRNA from 1 species